ACUCAAAGGAAUAGACGGGGGCCCGCACAAGCGGUGGAGCAUGUGGAUUAAUUCGAAGCAACGCGAAGAACCUUACCAAGGCUUGACAUCCCAUUGACAGGUGUAGAGAUACACCCUUUCUUCGGAACAAUGGUGACAGGUGGUGCAUGGUUGUCGUCAGCUCGUGUCGUGAGAUGUUGGGUUAAGUCCCGCAACGAGCGCAACCCUUAUGGUUAGUAGCCAGCACGUAAUGGUGGGCACUCUAGCCAGACUGCCGUGGAUAACACGGAGGAAGGUGGGGACGAUGUCAAAUCAUCAUGCCCUUUAUGCCUUGGGCCUCACACGUGCUACAAUGGCGGCUACAAAGUGAUGCAAACACGUAAGUGCAAGCAAAGCACAAAAAAGCCGUCUCAGUUCGGAUUGGGGUCUGCAACUCGACCCCAUGAAGUUGGAAUCGCUAGUAAUCGCAGAUCAGCAUGCUGCGGUGAAUACGUUCCCGGGCCUUGUACACACCGCCCGU
rnacentral:rRNA from 1 species